AUGCCCCCCCCCCUAACCCUAACACGCCGCCACUCCUCCCCCUCCUCCCUCGCCGCCGCCUGGCGCUGCCGCCGGCAAAGCCCGGCCGGCAGGGGCGGCUGCGGGGCCUUCGCUUCUCAGCCACUCGUGCUCCAUGGCUGGUGCAGGGCGGUCGGUCGAGUGGUGGCACUUGGCUGCGGCAUGGUGGCCCAUUCCCGGGCGAUGGCGGGGGGCCUGGUGGCGUCUCGUCGAAGGUCUAUGCGUCGUUUGCGGUGCGGCGACUGCAGUGGACUUAGAUCGGGCGGCAGCGUGCCCAUGCUCUCCGGCCAUAUUUGUUCGGUUUUGGUAGUCGGUGGACAAUGGGCGGCGUGCUAA
rnacentral:rRNA from 1 species